GUGCAGGGAAGAACGGGUUGAUUUAGACGCUGAUCCUUUCACUUAAUGUCCCACUUAUGGAAUAUAUAUGAUGCUGUUGGAUGGUUCUUUCUUUAUAUCUGUGUUGUGAAAAGCAAGGAGGAGAGGCUUGAAAAGGCUUGCCUUCCUCCAGGAACACUGUAUCUGAUUUGGGAGCAUUCUUGGAGGUUAAGAUUGGUGACUAUCAAGAAAGCAAAUACUUCAUGCAAGGACAACUUGCCAGAUCUGAGGAUGUAAAACAGCACAUCAUUUUCUACAUGCAAAUCUAACUUCUCUGAUUUCCACCACCAGAGAAUCUUGCAGUACAUUUUCCUUUCCAGAGAACUGGUACAGUAUGGGUAGCUAAAGA